rnacentral:rRNA from 1 species
UACGGGGGGGGCAAGCGUUGUUCGGAAUUACUGGGCGUAAAGGGCGCGUAGGCGGCCAACUAAGUCAGACGUGAAAUCCCUCGGCUUAACCGGGGAACUGCGUCUGAUACUGGAUGGCUAGAGUUUGGGAGAGGGAUGCGGAAUUCCAGGUGUAGCGGUGAGAUGCGUAGAUAUCUGGAGGAACACCGGUGGCGAAGGCGGCAUCCUGGACCAACACUGACGCUGAGGAGCGAAAGCCAGGGGAGCAAACGGG